AAUGAGAAAACCGGUGCAAGCACAAUAGAUGUGUGGGAGGAAAAACCCCCGCAUAAGUCGAAGGUGUGACGCGGACCGAAAAAGAGUAGGGAAGCUGUUAAGCAAGCCGUCAAGAAAAGCUGCUAUUGUUUCAUUAUGGCCCGUACCGUAAACCGACACAGGUGGAUGGGGAGAGAAUCCUAAGGCCGGCGGAAGAAGUAUUGUUAAGGAACUCGGCAAAAUGACCCCGUAACUUCGGGAGAAGGGGUGCCUGCGAGAGCAGGCCGCAGAGAAGAGGCCCAAGCAACUGUUUAGCAAAAACACAGGUCUAUGCAAAACCGAAAGGUGAGGUAUAUGGGCUGACGCCUGCCCGGUGCUGGAAGGUUAAGGGGAGUGGUCAGGAAACGAAGCCACGAACUUAAGCCCCAGUAAACGGCGGCCGUAACGAUAACGGUCCUAAGGUAGCGAAAUUCCUUGUCGGGUAAGUUCCGACCCGCACGAAAGGCGUAAUGAUUUGGGCGCUGUCUCGACAAUACAUCCGGUGAAAUUGAAGUGCCAGUGAAGAUGCUGGCUACCUGCGCCAGGACGGAAAGACCCCAUGGAGCUUUACUCCAGCUUGAUACUGGGACCCGGUAUUGCAUGUACAGGAUAGGUGGGAGGCUAGGAAAUGUGGACGCCAGUCUGCAUGGAGCCGCUGUUGGGAUACCACCCUUGUGGUGCUGGGUUUCUAACCAGAGGCCGUGAACCGGUCUGGGGACAAUGUCAGGUGGGGAGUUUGACUGGGGCGGUCGCCUCCGAAAGGGUAUCGGAGGCGCCCAAAGGUUCCCUCAGAAUGGUUGGAAACCAUUCGAAGAGUGCAAAGGCAGAAGGGAGCUUGACUGCGACACCGACGGGUGGAGCAGGUACGAAAGUAGGGCUUAGUGAUCCGGUGGAAUUUAAGUGGGAAUGCCAUCGCUCAACGGAUAAAAGCUACCCUGGGAUAACAGGCUGAUCACUCCCAAGAGUUCACAUCGACGGAGUGGUUUGGCACCUCGAUGUCGGCUCAUCGCAUCCUGGGGCUGAAGUCGGUCCCAAGGGUUGGGCUGUUCGCCCAUUAAAGCGGUACGCGAGCUGGGUUCAGAACGUCGUGAGACAGUUCGGUCCCUAUCCGGCGUGGGCGUAGGAUAUCUGAGAGGAGCUGUCCUUAGUACGAGAGGACCGGGAUGGACUGACCUCUGGUGUACCGGUUGGCGAUCAACGCCACGGCCGGGUAGCCAUGUCGGGACGGGAUAAACGCUGAAGGCAUCUAAGCGUGAAGCCCCCCUCAAGAUGAGAUAUCCCAUUCGAAAGAAGUAAGACCCCUUGAAGACGACGAGGUUGAUAGGGCAGGGGUGGAAGUGCUGUAAGGCAUGGAGCUGACUGCUACUAAUCGGUCGAGGGCUUGACC
rnacentral:rRNA from 1 species